rfam:Leucosporidium creatinivorum strain 62-1032 BCR35scaffold_119, whole genome shotgun sequence.
GGCGUUGUAGCAAAGUGGUUACUGCGUCAGCCUAGAAUUGGACUACAUCCGAUUAGCUGAUCCUCUCUGAGGGCGUAGGUUCGAGUCCUGCCAACGUCG